UUCCUACGGGACGCAGCAGUGAGGAAUAUUGGUCAAUGGGAGAGAUCCUGAACCAGCCAAGCCGCGUGAUGGAAGACGGCCCUAUGGGUUGUAAACCUCUUUUGUCGGAGAACAAAACCCGGGACGUGUCCCGGACUGCGUGUAUCCGAAGAAAAAGCAUCGGCUAACUCCGUGCCAGCAGCCGCGGUAAUACGGAGGAUGCGAGCGUUAUCCGGAUUUAUUGGGUUUAAAGGGUGCGUAGGCGGUCCGUUAAGUCAUCGGUAAAAUUGCGGGGCUCAACCCCGUCAAGCCGUUGAAACUGUCAG
rnacentral:rRNA from 1 species